ACUUAAAUUGAAGAGUUUGAUCAUGGCUCAGAUUGAACGCUGGCGGCAGGCCUAACACAUGCAAGUCGAGCGGUAGCACAGAGAGCUUGCUCUCGGGUGACGAGCGGCGGACGGGUGAGUAAUGUCUGGGAAACUGCCUGAUGGAGGGGGAUAACUACUGGAAACGGUAG
rnacentral:rRNA from 1 species